UGUUAUGUUGUGGACUUCGACAACGGCGUUGAAAUUGUAAAUUUUACAGUUUCGAAGGUGCAGUGCUGAUGACAGAAGCUCAGCAAGAAAGAAGUUUGGAGGGCUGUUCAACAAAUUGUACAACGUGACGUUCCACGCAUGUGGGUAUCAUAGUUUUGUGGCGGAUAAUAAUAUACCGAGGACUUCCUCUUGAGGCCGGGCUAUCCAAAGUACCAUGGGUAACACACGCUCUAAUAAAGGCCCGCCAACGGACUGAUGUCCCUACCACGA